rnacentral:lncRNA from 1 species
UAAAGUAUAAAUACCCUACUCCUUUUUGUUGAAAAAUAACAACUUUGGGUUCAAAAAUACACUCACACACUAAAAGCUCUCUUUUCUUUACUACCACUUUAUGCUACUGUUUUGUCUAGCAGGCUGAAAGCCAAGGCUAGACCGUGGAAGCUUUCUUACUUGUCUCGAGUGUUUUGCUGAAGUUUUGAGUGGACUAUCUGGCUGUUUACUUGUCUUGCUGUACUAGAAUUUCAACCGG